CAGACUUCUACGGAAAGGCAGCAGUUAAGAAUCUUGCGCAAUGGGCGAACGCCUGACGCAGCGACGCCGCGUGGACCGAUGAAGGCCUUCGGGUUGUAACGUCCGGUAAGCAGGGAAGAAUACGUUUCGUUGAAUACAGCGGAACGAUGACGGUACCUGCCUAAAGCCCCGGAUAACUACGGUCCCAGCAGCCCGCGGUAAUACCGUAUGGGGCGAGCGUUGUACGGAAUUAUUGGGCCUAACGGGCGUCUAGACCGGGGAAUUAAGUUAAGGUGUGAAAGCCAUGGGCUCAACCCGUGAAUUGCAUCUAAAACUGAUUCUCUUGAGUCCGGGAGAGGAGAGCGGGAAUUCCUGGUGUAGCGGUGAAAUGCGUAGAUAUCAGGAAGAACACCAGUGGCGAAGGCGGCUCUCUGGCCUAGAACUGACGCUGAAGCGCGAAAGCGUGGGGAGCGAACGGGAUUAGAUACCCCGGUAGUCCACGCCGUAAACGUUGUGUACUAGGUGUUAGUGCUUUAAGCACUAGUGCCGACGCUAACGCAUUAAGUACACCGCCUGGGGAGUACGCCCGCAAGGGUUAAACUCAAAGAAAUUGACGGGGGCCCGCACAAGCGGUGGAGCAUGUGGUUUAAUUCGAUGAUACGCGAAGAACCUUACCAGGGCUUGAACUGUCUCUGACAGGUGUAGAGAUACACCCUCCUUCGGGCAGAUUCAGAGGUGCUGCAUGGUUGUCGUCAGCUCGUGUCGUGAGAUGUUGGGUUAAGUCCCGCAACGAGCGCAACCCUUACUCCUUGUUGCUAUCAGGUCAUGCUGGGCACUCUAGGGGAACUGCCGGUGAUAAACCGGAGGAAGGUGGGGAUGACGUCAAAUCAGCACGGCCCUUAUGUCCUGGGCUACACACGUGCUACAAUGGCCGGUACAAUGAGUUGCGAUGCCGCGAGGUGGAGCUAAUCUCAAAAAACCGGUCUCAGUUCGGAUUGCAGUCUGCAACUCGACUGCAUGAAGCUGGAAUCGCUAGUAAUCGGAGAUCAGCACGCUCCGGUGAUACGUUCCCGGGCCUUGUACACACCGCCCGUCACACCAUCCGAGUUGGCAGCACCCGAAGUGGCUGAGCUAACCG
rnacentral:rRNA from 1 species